rnacentral:rRNA from 1 species
GAUGAACGCUGACAGAAUGCUUAACACAUGCAAGUCUUUGGCAAAGCUGUGCUUGCACAGCCUAGCCAAGGCGGACGGGUGAGUAACGCGUAAGGAACUUGCCCUGCAGUCAGGGAUAACAGACGGAAACGACUGAUAAGACCUGGUAAAGUCAGGCGGACUCAUGUCCAGCCUGAUGAAAAGAGAUGCUGCAGGAGAGCCUUGCGUCCUAUUAGCUUGUUGGUGGGGUAACGGCCCACCAAGGCGAUGAUAGGUAGCCGGCCUGAGAGGGUGGACGGCCACAAGGGGACUGAGAUACGGCCCUUACUCCUACGGGAGGCAGCAGUGGGGAAUAUUGGACAAUGGGGGCAACCCUGAUCCAGCAAUUCUGUGUGCACGAUGAAGGUUUUCGGAUUGUAAAGUGCUUUCAGCAGGGAAGAAAAAAUGACGGUACCUGCAGAAGAAGCGACGGCUAAAUACGUG